GCCGGGAGUUGUGGCGGGCUCUUGUAAACCAGUUUCCAGGUGGCUUAGGAUGGGGAGGAUCUGCCUGUUGGAAGAACACCUGUCUGCUUUACGUCGUUGACCGAGUGUCCGUGUCAAGCGUAGCGUCGAUAGGCCAUCAGUUGGGGAACCUCCUGAUGACCGGUCGUAGUCAGUCCUCUGACUUAUAAAGAGAGAUGGAUGGCUCAGGCCCGUGAGGGAGCAGGCAAAAGUCUCCGCGCUAUGACAGUGACCGGAUGGCAUACGCGAGGCGUUGAGUUUCAGGUGCCAGUAGUAUAUGUUCCCACCUAUUCUUUU
rnacentral:SRP_RNA from 1 species